rnacentral:rRNA from 1 species
UUCGCAAUGCCCGAAAGGGUGACGAAGCGACGCCGCGUGAGCGAAGAAGGCCCUAGGGUUGUAAAGCUCUGUCGGGGGUUAUGAAAUUUAGAUCGGUUAAUACCCGGUUUAUUUGACAAAAGCCCAAAAGGAAGCCACGGCUAACUCUGUGCCAGCAGCCGCGGUAAUACAGAGGUGGCGAGCGUUGUUCGGUAUUAUUGGGCGUAAAGAGCACGUAGGUGGUUUUGUAAGUCAGGUGUGAAAGCCUUCUGUUCAACGGGAGAAUUGCAUCUGAAACUGCAAGUCUUGAGUAUAGGAGGGGAGAGUGGAACUUCUGGUGGAGCGGUGAAAUGCGUAGAUAUCAGAAGGAACGUCGGCGGCGAAAGCGACUCUCUGGCCUAUUACUGACACUGAGUGUGCGAAAGUUAGGGGAGCAAACGGGAUUAGAUACCCCGGUAGUCCUAACUGUAAACGAUGGGCACUAAGUAGAGGGGUUUU